GAGCAUGAGCCAGGGUGGCCCAGGGGCUCACAGGAAUUCCCCUUCUGCCCUGAGCCCACCAGAGCUGGCUAUACAAUGACAACUUCACCCCCCCACCCCCCCAUGGGCAGCACCUGCUCCCUGGGUCUCCCCUGGUGGCCCUAUUAUCCCGCACCUGCUGCUUCCCCACCUGCUCCCUAUUCUUAGCCCCCUCCCCAUAGCACACCCUGUUCAUCACUAGGCCCAGCUGCCUGCUCUGACAGCCAGCCAGGAAGGGGGUGAUAGAACCAGGAGAGGUAGCAUGGAGGGCCCAAGGACAGAGGGUCCAGAGGCCAGUCCAGCUCUGUUUGACUAGUGUGUAUGCUUACAAUGGACUCCAUCUCAGGGUCUCAGUCUCCCUACCUGUGAAGUGGGAACAGCAAGCCCUGACCUCAAGUUUCUACAAAAACUUUACUGCUUGGAAGAUCUUAGGCCAUCGUGUUCCAAGAUCUGAGUUCUAGAGGACAGCCAGGAAAGAAGUGGACCAUGAGGACAGAGAGCGGGACAAGGGAAGGUGACGCAACCUUCACGUGCAUGAAGAUGCUAAUGGUUCAUAUUUUAUAUGCUGAAGAAAAAAAUCAAAAGAACUAAAACAAUCCCCAUAGUUAAAACAGAACAAAGCAGAAAAAAAGAAUCACUUCUGGGG
rnacentral:lncRNA from 1 species